rnacentral:rRNA from 1 species
UACAGGGGGUGCAAACGUUGCUCGGAAUUAUUGGGCGUAAAGCGCGCGUAGGCGGCUACUUAAGUCGGAUGUGAAAGCCCUUGGCUCAACUGAGGAAGUGCACCCGAAACUGAGUGGCUUGAGUACAAAAGAGGGUCGCGGAAUUCCCGGUGUAGAGGUGAAAUUCGUAGAUAUUGGGAAGAACACCGGUGGCGAAGGCGGCGCUCUGGACCGAGACUGACGCUGAGGCGCGAAAGCGUGGGGAGCAAACAGG